CCUUAGCGGGGGAAUCUCGGGAACUGAGAAUAAUACCUCAUAGGCCCGGGAAGCUGGAAUGCUCCCAGGCUGAAAUUUCCGGAGCUCGAGGAUGAGUCUGCGGCCUAUCAGGCUGUAGUGGGUGUAACGGACCCACUAACCUUCGACGGGUACGGGCCUUGAGAGAGGUUGCCCGGAGAUGGAUUCUGAGACACGAAUCCAGGUCCUACGGGGCGCAGCAGGCGCGAAAACUUCGCAAUGUGGGAAACCACGACGAGGGAAUCCCAAGUGCCAACGAUUUUUCGUUGGCUGUUGCCCUGUCUAAAAAACAGGGAGAGUAAGGGCUGGGUAAGACGGGUGCCAGCCGCCGCGGUAAUACCCGCGGCCCAAGUGGUGCUCGUUAUUAUUGGGUUUAAAACGUCCGUAGCCGGUCCGGUAAAUUCUUGGGUAAAUCGACUGGCCUAACCAGUCGAAUUCCGGGGAGACUGCCGGACUCGGGACCGGGGGAGGUCGGAGGUACUUCCAGGGUAGGGGUGAAAUCCUGUAAUCCUGGGGGGACCACCAGUGGCGAAGGCGUCCGACCAGAACGGCUCCGACGGUAAGGGACGAAGCCCUGGGGCGCAAACGGGAUUAGAUACCCCGGUAGUCCUGGGUGUAAACGCUGCAGGCUUGGUGUCGGGGGUUCUACGGGGGCGCCCGGUGCCGGAGCGAAGGUGUUAAGCCUGCUGCUUGGGGAGUACGGUCGCAAGACUGAAACUUAAAGGAAUUGGCGGGGGAGCAC
rnacentral:rRNA from 1 species